rnacentral:rRNA from 1 species
AUUGAACGCUGGCGGCAGGCCUAACACAUGCAAGUCGAACGAUAACAGGAGGCAGUUUGCCGCUUUGCUUACGAGUGGCGGGGGGGUGAAUAAUGUGGGUGAAACUCCCUGAUGGAGGGGGAAAAUUAGGGGAACCGGUGGCAAAAACGGCAAAACGUUGCAACACCAAGGUGGGGGACCUAAGGGCGUUUUGCCAUCGGCUGUGCCAAGAUGGGAUUCGCUAGUAGGUGGGGGAACGGCUAACCGAGGCCACGAUCCCUAGCUGGUCUGAGAGGAUGACCAGCCACACUGGAACUGAGACACGGUCCAGACUCCUACGGGAGGCAGCAGUAGGGAAUAUUGCGCAAUGGGCGCAAGCCUGAUGCAGCAAUGCCGCGUGUAUGAAGAAGGCCUUCAGCUUGUAAAAUACUUUCAUCAGGGAGGAAGAAAGUAAGGUUAAUACCUUAACUCAUUGACGUUACCCGCUGAGGAAGCACCGGCUAACUACGUG